rnacentral:rRNA from 1 species
ACGGCCUACGGGUUGUAAACUGCUUUGCAGGGGAAUAAACCCCGAUCGUGAUCGGGGUUGAAUGUACUCUGAGAAUAAGGAUCGGCUAACUCCGUGC